UACAGAGGUCUCAAGCGUUGUUCGGAUUCAUUGGGCGUAAAGGGUGUGUAGGUGGCGCCGUUAGUCGGGUGUGAAAUUUCGGAGCUUAACUCCGAAACUGCAUUCGAUACUGCCGUGCUUGAGGACUGGAGAGGAGACUGGAAUUUACGGUGUAGCGGUGAAAUGCGUAGAUAUCGUAAGGAAGACCAGUGGCGAAGGCGGGUCUCUGGACAGUUCCUGACGCUGAGGCACGAAGGUCAGGGGAGCAAACGGG
rnacentral:rRNA from 1 species